ACUGCAUUAGCAAAAGGGUUGUUAAGAAAAAAUGAGAGCCUUUUAAUUGACUACUUCAAUUAAAAACCCACAUGUUAAAUGUUUCUAUUUCAUAGCUGUGCAACGAUACAGUUCAUUUGCUCCAAGACAAUAGAGCCCCCCCAAACAAGAAAUGAGUAACACAGCCAUGUUAUUCACUCAAUAGAAGAAAUGAAAACAUUACAGAGAACGGAAACUUUAACAGACAGGUUGUUUUUUAGGUACAAAGUGUGGCAGAUUUUGAUGAAGUUGCCUUAAGCAUUUCACAACUGAAGUCAUCGAGUUCAUUGGCUGAAAGCCUGUCCAGGUCUCUCCGAAUGGCAGCACAGCUUUCUGGUGUAUCAGCCACUCCUCCCAGUUUUGUGACAUCGGCAAACUUGCUGAGGGUACACUCUGUUCCAUCGUCCAGGUCAUUGAUGAGUAAGUUGAACAAGACUGGGCCCAGUACUGACCCCUGGGGACACCACUACUAUAUGACUCCAACCAGACUGCACACCACUGAGCACAACCCCGAGCUCUGCCAUCUAUCCAGGUCUCAAUCCACCUCACUGUUCACUCAUCUAACCCACACUUUCUGAGCUUGCCUAUGAGGAUGUUAUGGGAGACAGCACUGAAAGCCUUGCUGAAGUCAAGGUAAACAACAUCCACUAUUUUCCCAUCAUCUACCCAGCCAGUCAUUCUAUCAUAGAAGGCUUUCAGAUUUGAUUAAACAUGAAUUCCCCUUGGUGAAUCCAUGCUGACCACUCCUGAUCACCCUCUUUUCCUCCACAUGCUUAGAGAUGACAUCCAGGAUCACAGAGUCACAGAACUGUAGGGGUUGGAAGGGACCUCAAGAGA